rnacentral:rRNA from 1 species
UACGUAGGGGGCAAGCGUUGUCCGGAUUCAUUGGGCGUAAAGAGCGUGUAGGCGGCCAGGUAGGUCGGUUGUGAAAACUGGAGGCUCAACCUUCAGAGGUCGACCGAAACCAUCUGGCUAGAGUCCGGGAGAGGAGAGUGGAAUUCCUGGUGUAGCGGUGAAAUGCGCAGAUAGUCAGGAAGAACACCCGUGGCGAAAGCGGCUCUCUGGAACGGUACUGACGCUGAGACGCGAAAGCGUGGGGAGCGAAACAGGG